UACGUAGGGCGCAAGCGUUGUCCGGAAUUAUUGGGCGUAAAGAGCUCGUAGGCGGUCUGUUGCGUCCGCUGUGAAAACCCAGGGCUUAACCCCGGGCCUGCAGUGGGUACGGGCAGACUAGAGUGCGGUAGGGGAGACUGGAAUUCCUGGUGUAGCGGUGAAAUGCGCAGAUAUCAGGAGGAACACCGGUGGCGAAGGCGGAUCUCUGGGCCAUUACUGACGCUGAGGAGCGAAAGCGUGGGGAGCGAACAGG
rnacentral:rRNA from 1 species